UACGAAGGGGGCUAGCGUUGUUCGGAAUUACUGGGCGUAAAGCGCGCGCAGGCGGUUUCUCAAGUCAGUGGUGAAAGCCCGGAGCUCAACUCCGGAACUGCCAUUGAAACUGUGAAACUUGAGGACGAGAGAGGUGAGUGGAAUUCCCAGUGUAGAGGUGAAAUUCGUAGAUAUUCGCAAGAACACCAGUGGCGAAGGCGGCUCACUGGCCCGGUACUGACGCUGAGGCACGAAAGCGUGGGGAGCAAACAGG
rnacentral:rRNA from 1 species